UUUUUACAAAAACAUCGCUCUUUGUGUAUCAUAAAUAAAGAGUCGUGCCUGCCCAGUGAAUAUUUUAACGGCCGCAGUACCCUGACUGUGCAAAGGUAGCAUAAUCAUUUGCCUUUUAAUUGAAGGCUGGAAUGAAUGGCUUGACGGAAUCUCGCUGUCUUUUUUUUAUUGACUAGAAUUUAAUUUUUAGGUGCAGAAGCCUAGAUAAGAUUAAAAGACGAAAAGACCCUGUCGAACUUAAGGAUAAAGUUAAAAUUUUGUUAUAUUUUUAGAAUAAGGUUGUUUUAAUUCAUUCUUUUGUUGGGGCGACAGAAGAACAAAAAAAGCUUCUUUAACUUACUUUAACUUAUUAGUUAAGAUGAUCCAUAUAUUUAUGAAAUAAGAAUAAGUUACCGCAGGGAUAACAGCGUUAUUUUUCUGGAGAGUUCAAAUUGAAGGAAAAGAUUGCGACCUCGAUGUUGGAUUAGAAUAUCGGGUAGGUGGAGCAGCUUGCUUAGAAGGCCUGUUCGUCCUUUAAAUUUCUACAUGAUCUGAGU
rnacentral:rRNA from 1 species